UACGGGGGAUGCAAGCGUUAUCCGGAAUCAUUGGGCGUAAAGCGCCUGUAGGUUGUUUAAUAAGUCCGUUGUUAAAGACUAGGGCUUAACCCUAGGAAAGCGAUGGAAACUGAUAGACUUGAGUAUGGCAGGGGUAGAGGGAAUUUCUAGUGUAGCGGUGAAAUGCGUAGAUAUUAGAAAGAACACCGGUGGCGAAAGCGCUCUACUGGACCAUUACUGACACUGAGAGGCGAAAGCUAGGGGAGCGAAAGGG
rnacentral:rRNA from 1 species